rnacentral:tRNA from 1 species
GGGGCGGUGGCGAAACGGCAUACGCUGCAGACUUAAAAUCUGCUGGCCGCAAGGCCAUGUGGGUUCGAGUCCCACCCGCCCUA